AUGCCAUUACAGGAGUUGGUGUCCUUUGAGGAUGUGGCUGUGGGCUUCACCUGGGAAGAGUGGCAGGACUUGGAUGAUGCUCAAAGGACUCUGUACAGGGACAUGAUGCUGGAGACCUACAGCAGCUUGGUGUCCUUGGGUGAUGCAGGGAGAUGGAGAAGAGGAAAACCCAGCAGAUGUUGACUUUUUAAAGGAAAGAGAUCUGAGGAGUUUAAUGUAUUUCAGAACAUACUUCUUUCUGGUGAUCCUGAUGAGAUGGAAGCUUGACCUGUAAUGAGUCAGCUACUAUUGCUCAAGAGCUAACUCAGGUAGGGAGGAAAACUUUUGAACGUCAUGUAUGUGGGAAAAUAUUCAGUAAGAAGCAUAAAGUCACUGAACAUAAGAAAAUACACUCAGGAAAGAAACCUUAUAAAUAUAGUGAAUAUGAGAAAGCCUUCAUUAGCCAAUCAUGUGUUACAAAACAUCAGAGAACACAUACAGAAGAGAAACCCUAUCCAUGUGCCAUAUGUGAGAAAUCCUUCUGUCAGAAAUCAAAUCUAAGCCCCUCCCAGUAUGUCAAAGAACUCACACAGGUGAACAACCGUAUGAAUGUAAAGAAUGUAGGAAAACUUUCUAUGAGAAGGCAAAUCUCAAUGUACAUCAAAGAACUCACAUAGGGGAAAAAACCCUAUGAACAUAAUGAAUGUGGAAAAAAGUUUCAUCACAAGUCAUACCUCAGGGUGCAUCAGGGUUUUCAUAUAGGCAAGAAACCCUAUGAAUGUAACGAAUGUGGGAAAACCUAUGAGAAAGGAAUCCUCACUAGCCAUCAGAGAAAUCACACGGGGGAAAAACCCUAUGAAUGUAAUCAAUGUGGAAAACCCUUUGGCUGGAAGUCAAGCCUUAGGUCGCAUCAGAGUAUUCACAGAGGGCAGAAAACCUAUGGAUGUAAUGUAUGUAGUAAAAGCUUCCACCAGAAGUCAGACCUCACUAAACAUGAAAGAAUUCACACUGGGGAAAAUCCCUAUGAAUGUAAUGAGUGUGGAAAAUCCUUUGGCUGGAAGUCAAGGCUCAGCCAACAUCAGAGAUCUCACAUAGGGU
rnacentral:lncRNA from 1 species